rnacentral:rRNA from 1 species
AGUGAACGCUGGCGGUAGGCCUAACACAUGCAAGUCGAACGGCAGCACAGUAAGAGCUUGCUCUUACGGGUGGCGAGUGGCGGACGGGUGAAGAAUACAUCGGAAUCUACUUUUUCGUGGGGGAUAACGUAGGGAAACUUACGCUAAUACCGCAUACGACCUACGGGUGAAAGCAGGGGAUCUUCGGACCUUGCGCGAUUGAAUGAGCCGAUGUCGGAUUAGCUAGUUGGCGGGGUAAAGGCCCACCAAGGCGACGAUCCGUAGCUGGUCUGAGAGGAUGAUCAGCCACACUGGAACUGAGACACGGUCCAGACUCCUACGGGAGGCAGCAGUGGGGAAUAUUGGACAAUGGGCGCAAGCCUGAUCCAGCCAUACCGCGUGGGUGAAGAAGGCCUUCGGGUUGUAAAGCCCCUUUGUUGGGAAAGAAAAGCAGCAGGUUAAUACCCCGCUGUUCUGACGGUACCCAAAGAAUAAGCACCGGCUAACUUCGUG